rnacentral:sRNA from 1 species
UUUUAACUUUAUCCUCAAAAUUGUUGUUAUGGUUAGGAUUAUUCCCAUUUUAUAGAUAAGAAAGCUGAAGGUAAAAAAAAGUCAGUGACCCAUGUCUUCUAAUUUUAAAUCUUGUUCUAUUAGAGCAGGCUGCCUCUUCAACUUAAAGUUCUGGGGACAGUAAUGCCUUUGAGAGCUACUCCAAUUAUACUAGUCUCCCCUCACUUAUGGAGCCCCAAAAGACUGGCACCACUAAUAUCCCUCAAGUUUCAUAAGAAGCUUAUUCAAGAAGAUGCAUUUAAAACAUACGUGCUGAUGACAUCACAAGUUUAGUAACAGAUACUACACUUCUUGUACACUUUUUUGGAAAGAAAGGAAAAGCUGAGCUCAACUUUGAAGAUUUUUAUAGAUUCAUGGAUAAUCUCCAAACAGAAGUUCUAGAAAUAGAAUUCCUUUCCUACUCAAAUGGAAUGAAUACCAUCAGUGAAGAAGAUUUUGCUCAUAUUCUUUUACGAUAUACAAAUGUGGAAAAUACAUCAGUAUUUUUAGAAAAUGUGCGUUACAGUAUACCUGAAGAAAA